GCCCUUCUUCUCCUUCAGCACAAGGGGCAACACUGGUGAAAAGACUUUGCUGGCAAGGUUGAAGAACUCAAAAUGAAACCUCUUUCCCAGCUCUAAAAUUCCCACUGUUGAUAGAAGUUGAUUCUGUAUAAAGAGUACAGUUCCGUUGGCUUUGAGGAGUUGUGUCCCAGUUAUGUUGGUGUCACGCUGGAAUCAGAUGCUCACGGCUCAACCACCACACACAGCUCUUACCCACAGGGCAUCACUGGCUUCCUCCACUUCCAAAGAUUCCUUCAUCCACUCUUCUUUUCCAGAUGGGAGUUGAAAGAAAGGUACAGGUAGAGAGUCAAUCACGUUAAAGUUAGUAGAUGAAAACUGUUCGUAUUUGGUGUGCACUUGUUCUCCAGAGAUGACUGGCAGAGGAAAGGAAAGCAAUGCAAGUACAGCAUCAUGGCAGCAGCAGAGACCAACUCACUGAAGGUGGCAGAUGGACAGAACACUAGUAGUUAUGGCUCAUAUUUAGUCAUUCUCAAUAAGAUCUGUCCCAGCAUGGGGAGAAGCUGGAAAAUACCCCUGAGUGCCCUCUGUGGUCACCUCAGCAGAGGCCUCUGCUGAGCAAAGAGUAACUGCCUGAGACAAGCUCAAAAGCAGGCUGAGCAUUUCACCUGUACAUACCCUUCUAAGGACCAUGCACUGCUACUCUUACAGUCAAUGUUGUGAGGAAAGGAAAUUCCAAAGGGACAGACAAGUGCAAAUAGAUCUGUCCUUUUUCUAAGGAAAGCAAAAGUCAAGAGCUGUGCCAUAUGAAACCACACGUGGUUUGCAAUGAGAGAGUAUUUUAUAUAUUUUGCCAUAAUUUUGUUUAUUGAAAAUUUAAGUCAUUUGAGCAGUUGUACCAGAGGGACUGUGAUUUACCAUGAGAUAAGGUAAACCUCUGGAUAAUUUCAAACUGUUUUCUGUCUUUGUCUGAAUUUGUCAUGCUGAAACUGAAACAAACCAUUGAUUUAUCAGAAGUGUUUUAUUCUUCAUUCUACAUCUGUGGAGACCUAAGCUAUAAACCAGGAAAGCAGUAGAAAGCUGUAUUUGUAAAUAUUUUAGAGAAGACUAAAAGAAGACUGUGGAACUUUAUGCUAUUUUGUGCUAUUGAGUGCUUUGCAGAAGCUCAUUUGGGAAAUGUAUUCUUUGAUUUUGGUAAUCAAUUGAUCAACAUUUGAAAGACACACAGCUAUUGUGAAGAGCAGUUCUUUCAAAUAUCCA